AUGAGGUGUCAGAAUCCAGAUCUGGUUCAAAACUGUGGAUUCUUUCCAUUUCAACUUGCUUUCCCUGCUACCUGGGGCCUCCCCCGGGAUUUUGGGGCCGUGUGCACACAGUGUGGGGCCGUCAACAAGGGCACUAAAAGGCCUGGAGGGCCCCUCGGAGUCAGGCGAACCUGCCACUUGGACAUUUUUAGAGUGAGAAUUAUUAUUGGCUCCGUCGGGCAGAAGCCAGAGGGGACCCAGGAGGGACCCACGUGCUCGACUCCAAGACCACAGGCCUCGCCGGCGGCGGACAGGCCUCUGGGUUCUGAUCUGUGCUUGACCAGAGGCCUGAGCUCUGGGCCGUCACGGGCCACGCAGGCCAGGGCCGCUCCGAGGGCCGGGGGCCGCAGCCCCUGCGUGCGGACUCCUCCCGCAUCCCGACAGCCGGGCACGGCCGCCGCCCUGGGAAGGCAGGGUCUGUUCUCGGCUUCCCAGGCCCAGCUGGGAGGUCAGGCCACCCAGGGGCUAAUUCCUGACAUUCUCCGGGAGGCUGAGAAACAGCAAAUGUGGCGCAAAGAUGCCGGAAAGGAGACCUCCUUGAAUCUCAGGAAAAAACCCAGAAGCGCACGCAGGGACGUCCAAAACCAGAUGUCCACGCUUAAAAAAAAGAAAGAGCUUUCGUUAUGCAUCUUUACACAGUUCACAUGGGACAUGGUUAAAGUAGUCGCCCCCACCGCAGCCCCAGCUCCCAGCCCCACCACCGCCGCCCGAGGCAACUCCUGGUAUCGAUCUCCUGUUCCUGCAGCCGCUCCAGGCUCCCACCACGUCCCUGCCCGUACUGCCCCCCCCAUUCCUUCUCCUUAUACUGGCCUCCUUCUUGUCCUUGAAUACGCCAGGCGUGUUCCCACCCCAGGGCCUUUGCACAGGCUGCACCUUCUGCCCGUUCCGUUUCUGCCCAGAUACCACAUGGUUCCCUCCCUCACCUCUGUUGGGUGGUUGCUCACAUGUCAGCUUCCUGCCUGGGGCCUCCCCACCCCAGUGGUACACACUGUCUUCCUUUCCUGA
rnacentral:lncRNA from 1 species